GGGUUGUGAGGUUAAGCGACUAAGCGUACACGGUGGAUGCCCUGGCAGUCAGAGGCGAUGAAGGGCGUGCUAAUCUGCGAUAAGCGCCGGUAAGGUGAUAUGAACCGUUAUAACCGGCGAUACCCGAAUGGGGAAACCCAGUGUGAUUCGUCACACUAUCAUUAACUGAAUCCAUAGGUUAAUGAGGCGAACCGGGGGAACUGAAACAUCUAAGUACCCCGAGGAAAAGAAAUCAACCGAGAUUCCCCCAGUAGCGGCGAGCGAACGGGGAGGAGCCCAGAGCCUGAAUCAGCAUGUGUGUUAGUGGAAGCGUCUGGAAAGGCGCGCGAUACAGGGUGACAGCCCCGUACACAAAAGCGCAUGUGCUGUGAGCUCGAUGAGUAGGGCGGGACACGUGGUAUCCUGUCUGAAUAUGGGGGGACCAUCCUCCAAGGCUAAAUACUCCUGACUGACCGAUAGUGAACCAGUACCGUGAGGGAAAGGCGAAAAGAACCCCGGCGAGGGGAGUGAAAAAGAACCUGAAACCGUGUACGUACAAGCAGUGGGAGCNNNNNNNNNNNNNNNNNNNNNNNNNNNNNNNNNNNNNNNNNNNNNNNNNNNNNNNNNNNNGGGCGUUAAGUUGCAGGGUAUAGACCCGAAACCCGGUGAUCUAGCCAUGGGCAGGUUGAAGGUUGGGUAACACUAACUGGAGGACCGAACCGACUAAUGUUGAAAAAUUAGCGGAUGACCUGUGGCUGGGGGUGAAAGGCCAAUCAAACCGGGAGAUAGCUGGUUCUCCCCGAAAGCUAUUUAGGUAGCGCCUCGUGAAUUCAUCUCCGGGGGUAGAGCACUGUUUCGGCUAGGGGGCCAUCCCGGCUUACCAACCCGAUGCAAACUGCGAAUACCGGAGAAUGUUAUCACGGGAGACACACGGCGGGUGCUAACGUCCGUCGUGAAGAGGGAAACAACCCAGACCGCCAGCUAAGGUCCCAAAGUCAUGGUUAAGUGGGAAACGAUGUGGGAAGGCCCAGACAGCCAGGAUGUUGGCUUAGAAGCAGCCAUCAUUUAAAGAAAGCGUAAUAGCUCACUGGUCGAGUCGGCCUGCGCGGAAGAUGUAACGGGGCUAAACCAUGCACCGAAGCUGCGGCAGCGACACUGUGUGUUGUUGGGUAGGGGAGCGUUCUGUAAGCCUGUGAAGGUGUGUCGUGAGGCAUGCUGGAGGUAUCAGAAGUGCGAAUGCUGACAUAAGUAACGAUAAAGCGGGUGAAAAGCCCGCUCGCCGGAAGACCAAGGGUUCCUGUCCAACGUUAAUCGGGGCAGGGUGAGUCGACCCCUAAGGCGAGGCCGAAAGGCGUAGUCGAUGGGAAACGGGUUAAUAUUCCCGUACUUGGUGUUACUGCGAAGGGGGGACGGAGAAGGCUAUGUUGGCCGGGCGACGGUUGUCCCGGUUUAAGCGUGUAGGUGUGUGUUCCAGGUAAAUCCGGUUCACUUUAACACUGAGGCGUGACGACGAGGCACUACGGUGCUGAAGCAACAAAUGCCCUGCUUCCAGGAAAAGCCUCUAAGCAUCAGGUAACAUCAAAUCGUACCCCAAACCGACACAGGUGGUCAGGUAGAGAAUACCAAGGCGCUUGAGAGAACUCGGGUGAAGGAACUAGGCAAAAUGGUGCCGUAACUUCGGGAGAAGGCACGCUGACACGUAGGUGAAGUGAUUUACUCAUGGAGCUGAAGUCAGUCGAAGAUACCAGCUGGCUGCAACUGUUUAUUAAAAACACAGCACUGUGCAAACACGAAAGUGGACGUAUACGGUGUGACGCCUGCCCGGUGCCGGAAGGUUAAUUGAUGGGGUCAGCGCAAGCGAAGCUCCUGAUCGAAGCCCCGGUAAACGGCGGCCGUAACUAUAACGGUCCUAAGGUAGCGAAAUUCCUUGUCGGGUAAGUUCCGACCUGCACGAAUGGCGUAAUGAUGGCCAGGCUGUCUCCACCCGAGACUCAGUGAAAUUGAACUCGCUGUGAAGAUGCAGUGUACCCGCGGCAAGACGGAAAGACCCCGUGAACCUUUACUAUAGCUUGACACUGAACAUUGAGCCUUGAUGUGUAGGAUAGGUGGGAGGCUUUGAAGUGUGGACGCCAGUCUGCAUGGAGCCGACCUUGAAAUACCACCCUUUAAUGUUUGAUGUUCUAACGUGGACCCGUUACCCGGGUUGCGGACAGUGUCUGGUGGGUAGUUUGACUGGGGCGGUCUCCUCCUAAAGAGUAACGGAGGAGCACGAAGGUUGGCUAAUCCUGGUCGGACAUCAGGAGGUUAGUGCAAUGGCAUAAGCCAGCUUGACUGCGAGCGUGACGGCGCGAGCAGGUGCGAAAGCAGGUCAUAGUGAUCCGGUGGUUCUGAAUGGAAGGGCCAUCGCUCAACGGAUAAAAGGUACUCCGGGGAUAACAGGCUGAUACCGCCCAAGAGUUCAUAUCGACGGCGGUGUUUGGCACCUCGAUGUCGGCUCAUCACAUCCUGGGGCUGAAGUAGGUCCCAAGGGUAUGGCUGUUCGCCAUUUAAAGUGGUACGCGAGCUGGGUUUAGAACGUCGUGAGACAGUUCGGUCCCUAUCUGCCGUGGGCGCUGGAGAACUGAGGGGGGCUGCUCCUAGUACGAGAGGACCGGAGUGGACGCAUCACUGGUGUUCGGGUUGUCAUGCCAAUGGCACUGCCCGGUAGCUAAAUGCGGAAGAGAUAAGUGCUGAAAGCAUCUAAGCACGAAACUUGCCCCGAGAUGAGUUCUCCCUGAGACUUAAAGUCUCCUGAAGGAACGUUGAAGACGACGACGUUGAUAGGCCGGGUGUGUAAGCGCAGCGAUGCGUUGAGCUAACCGGUACUAAUGAACCGUGAGGCUUAACCUUACAACGCCGAAG
rnacentral:rRNA from 1 species